UUGACCAAUCAAGUGUCUUAGUGUUGCUUUUAGCCAAUCAGAGCAGCAGAUGGUACUCGCUUCGAUUGAUGCUCCCGCGCUAAGCGACGUUUUGCUGCAGAAGGAGACGUUACUAAUACACGAUGCCGUUCCAGUUUGCCAUUUAUUACUUAUAUGAUAAAUCAUUGAAAGUGGAGAGCACAUUGAUCCUCGUAGAUAUAGACCAGCAUAGUCAAGUUACGUAAAAACCAGACCUUGAUGGAGACGAGAAUUGGCUGGAAAUAAAGUGGCCUUCACGUAAAGAACCAGAGAAGACAGUGCCCGCAAAAGUCUUGCUGUUUGGAGAUUCGUUCCAAGACCUCGUCAUGAAGAAAAACUUACUACUUUUGGGAAAGGACAUAUGGAACCAGGAUGAAAGCAGGGGCGUUUGUGUCAAAAAGAAAAUGUUGGACACCAGCAAGCUAAACGAGGCCAAAAAAGGCAGGCUGCAAAAGCAAACCAAGAUCAAAGAGGCAGCCAGAGACAAGAUGUUACAAAAACUGAAGAAUUCACUUUCUCAGAGCAGGGCCGUAGACACACAAGAUCAAAACACCAGCUCUGAGGAUGAAGUUCCACAAUGUCUUCAUAAUGUAUGCAUACUGUCUUAUUGAG